UUGGUGAAGCGUUGUUGCUAAUGAAGCGAUACCUAUUAUUUUCUGGAUAAGAGCUCCCUCCAUCUCCAUGGCGACGUGGAGAUCUUACAUUCAAAACCAUGGAGUGUGCGCGCAGCUUUCUCGCUUGAAGGGGAUCGGUUCGAUGGCAGGACAAAGCGAAAGGUAGAGCCCUCUACCUUGCGGAAGAAAAGAUAAACGAUAGGAUCUGUUUUGGGGACGAAAAGGUGAACAAUUCUGAGACACAAGUCAUCUUCAUAGGAAAGGAGCCGGGAAUCUUCUAGCUUGGAUGGCAGGAUAGAGGAGGGAACAAAAGGAAGGAGUACAGAAGUUAUCCUAACUAAGAAAUUUCCUGAAAAAUGUCAAUGACCUGAUGCAUGUCCUCUACAGCAGUGCUUGGCCACCCUCUCAGUGGAAAGGAGAGAGCAGCACCACCACUCCUUAAAUCAAUAGUCAAGUUUUGUCUUUUUUUUUCUUCUGUUUGAUACUCUGAUCUUCAAUGUGUAUUGAUUCCUACUAACCAGCUUUGUAAGAGCUAGGUUUGUACUAGCUAUGUUAAUGAUCAUUACAGUUUUUUUCUAUGCAUCAGGAGAGAAACUGGAUUCCACAAGAGAAAAAAGAUGCCAUCUCGAACCUAAAAGGGUUCAUCAAAAAAAGUGCCAUCUAGAAUCUAAAAGGGUUCUCAGCUGUCACCGUUAAGAAAAGGAUGGAGGUUUUUACAUAUUUUUACUGACCAGAAUAUUAAGUAUUUUUCUGGCCAUGAUACAACCAGCUGGUCAUAGUUUUGACCACUAUUAUGUGCUAUAUUAUGUACUGGUCAUAGUUAAGACCUCAUCGAAACCUGGUAAUGACCACCUGACUACAACUUAUUACCUACCCUAAAAAGUAUUGUAGAGGAACAAGUUGGAUAUUGAAAACAUUUCAUAUUUAUUUGUUUACAUAGGCACCAAUUAAAGUUUAAAUCUGCAACAUAUUCUUACAUUUAAAAUAGAUCAAGUAAUGGCAAAAACAAAUCAUAACUCACACACAGACAUUACAGGCAUAGAAAUACUGGGAAACAGACGAUAUAAUGGCCCAUUGUAUUAUGUUUUAUUAAUGAUUAAUAAGAGUGGUGUGAUGGGGUAGAUCCUCAUCAAUUCCACCGUCCGCAACCACAUGGCUCUCCAGACAAUGGUGUGGUCAGCCCAAUGCAUGCCUGCCCUCCAGGAAAUCUACAGCAUCUGGGGUCACAGAAUGGCCAAGAAGAUUAUCAAGGACCUCAGCUACCUGAGCCACGGCCUGUUUACCCCACUACCAUCUAGAAGGCGGGAAAUGUGUAAUUAGCGACAAAACACCAUUCUCAAAAGCGCACCGCAUGAGAAUGGGGAGAUCUAAAGAUGCAUCAACUGGGUUACUGAUUUGACUAGGAUUAUGCCUUUGGCUGCUGGACAAUAAAAUAACAUUGAUUUGAAAACCAAUAGAUAAUGCUGGUUUUAAUGGCAUAUAAAGUGUUUAUAAAAUAAUAAUUCCCCCAACAUGUCUAUGAUCGUAUUUUGGCUAGGCUAGGCUACUUUAAAACAAGAUAUGAUAUGCUUCAUAAAAUGACAUGAAACAUCCAGGUUUUAAACAAUUAAGAUUAUGGUUAAAUAAUUUCAAAAUGCUAACCGCCUCAGCUCAGAUUCAAGGUAAAAUGAAAUGUUAUUUGUCACAUGUUUCGUAAACAACAGGUGUGGACUAACAGUGAAAUGCUUACUUACGGCCCCUUCCCAACAAUGCAGAGAGAAAGAAAAUAGAUAAGUUAAACAUCUAAUAAUAAAAGUAAUAAUAGAUACACUAUGAAUAUAGAUAACUUGGCUAUAGACAAUGGGUACCAGUACCGUGUCGAUGUGCAAGGGUACGGGGUACUGUAGAUAUGUACAUAUAACUAGGAAUAAAGUCAGAGAGUAAACAGCAGCAGCACCGUAUGUGAUGAGUCAAAAAAAGUAUGCAAAAAGGGUCAAUGCAGACAGUCCGGAUAUCUAUUUGGUUAACUAUUUAACUAACUGUUUAGCAGUCUUAUGGCUUUGGGGUAGAAGCUGUUCAGGGUCCUGUUGGUUCCAGACUUCUGUACUGCUUGCCAUAGAACGUGAAGCUCUCGACCCACUCAACUACAGCCCCGUUGAUGUUGCUUUUCUCGAAGCAAGGCAUUUAGCUUGUCUGGAAGGCUUGUGUCAUUGGGCAGCUCGCAGCUGGGUUUCCCGUUGUAAUCCAUGAUAGUUUACAAGUCCUGCCACAUCCGAGGAGCAUCAGGGCCAGUGUAAUAGGAUUCAAUCUUAGUCCUGUAUUGAUGCUUUGGCUGUUUGGUGGUUCUUCGAAGGGCAUAGUGGGAUUUCUUACAAGUGUCCGGGUUAGUGUCCUGAUCUAGGGUGUAAUCAUUAGUCAAUCUACUGUGUAAGUAUAUGGAAGGGGGUGACAACCACACGCCUCCUAGGUUUUGUAUUAAAGUAAAUUUACCUAGAGGAGAACGGAAACUAGCCGUCCUCUGGCACGUAUUAAUGAGGCCGGUGACCGACGUGGUAAUUUCCUCAAUGCCAUCGGGCGAGUCCCGGAACAUAUUCCAGUCUGUGCUAGCAAAACAGUCGUGUAGCUUAGCAUCUGCUUCAUCGGACCACUUCUGCAUUGAGCUCAUCACGGGUACUUCCUGUUUGAGUAUUUGCUUGUAAGCAGGAAUAAGAAAGAUAAGAGUUAUGGUCUGAUUUGCCAAACGGAGGGCGAGGGAGAGCUUUGUAUGUGUCCCUGUGUGUGGAAUAAAUGUGUUCAAUAGUUUUUUCGUUUCUAGUUGCAGAAGUGACUUGCUGGUAAAAAUUAGGUAAGACAGUUUUCUGUUUCCUGCAUUAACCCUUUGAUGUGUACUAACCAGAACAACCUUCUAAAAUGUAUUUUACACACAUUAUAUGUGUCCAUUAUAAUAUGCAAGAAUCGGAAUGCAUGAUAUGUCACCAGUACUUAAAACAGUAAAUAAAAAAUGUAU